rnacentral:lncRNA from 1 species
AGGAUUCUUGGUAAUUCUCUAAUUAUGCUUCUAAUUGCUUUCUAAUUAUCUUUGUUCUUCAAUAUUAUGAAUAUGACUUUGUUCUACUUCAAUAUAUUGCUUAUGACUUUGCUCUACUUGCUUAUAUUCAAGAUUAUAUUGUUCUUAGUUUAUCAUAGUUAUGUACUUGGCUUAGUUAGAUUGGAUCUAUAUACAUGCUUAGGAUCGUAUAGCGUUUAUCCAUCGGAUCCAUGGGUAAAUGAUAGAUAUUGUGUAGGCGUGGUGCUUAUACCGUAUUUAUCUGCGAUUGUACGCAAUAUGCUAGAUCGUGGGGUGGUUCGUGAUAGUGACAGCUUCAUUGAUUCUUAUAUAGUCCCCCUCUCGUGU